ACACACACACACACACACACACCCACCCACCCACACACACACACACACACAAACACAAACAUCUAUUGACUAAUGGAAAAUUCAUACUGUCAGAACCAAGGUUAGAUCUUAUACUGAUUGUACAUGUAGCUACAAGCCACAAAACGCCUAAAGUAAGAUGAUACACCCAGAUACGGGAAUCACAUGUGCCUAAACAUAAUCGUCAUGGUACUAAAAACUGGCUAAAAACUGCUAACAAAGAGACAGAACUAAAAGAAUCCUCACAAUGGAAAAGAAAGAAACUGACGUUGUCACACACAGCAUUUCAACUUACAAGUCAUGGACAGUAGAACACUCCCUCAGAGAUAUCCGAGAGCUGCUUGUGGUUGUUGCAUACCAGCCACGCCCCCCACUUUUGCAAUUUGCACAAGGAGCCCACACUCCCGGAUCCCAUGGCCCAAGGUUGUCUGUCUAGCGCGAGCGCUGCAAGAUCGAGUAGGUGUUGGAGUGCCUCCUGCCCACACGACCUGACUCACCAGCACUGGACCCAGAGGCAGAGGAAGUGGAAAUGAUAGAGAAUGAGGGGAUGAGGGGAGUGGGCGGGGAACAAGGGGGUGGAGCCAUAUACGAUGAAGAUGAGGAGGAUGAAGGAGUGGGCGGGGCACAGAGGGUGGGCUGCUCUCUCAACAGUGACACUCUUAGGAACUCUAUAUUCACCACUUUGAUUGUAUUUAUGGACUGGAUAAUUAUGUGAAUAACGUUUGCCCAUGCACUCAUCAUAAUAAUUAUAUAUAUUGUUGUGAA